UACGUAGGUGGCAAGCGUUGUCCGGAUUUACUGGGCGUAAAGAGCGCGCAGGCGGUCGUUCAAGUCGCGUGUGAAAGCCCCCGGCUCAACUGGGGAGGGUCACGCGAUACUGAUCGACUCGAAGGCAGGAGAGGGUAGUGGAAUUCCCGGUGUAGUGGUGAAAUGCGUAGAUAUCGGGAGGAACACCAGUGGCGAAGGCGACUACCUGGCCUGUUCUUGACGCUGAGGCGCGAAAGCUAGGGGAGCGAACUGG
rnacentral:rRNA from 1 species